UACGAAGGGGGCUAGCGUUGCUCGGAAUCACUGGGCGUAAAGCGCACGUAGGCGGACUCUUAAGUCGGUGGUGAAAUCCUGGAGCUCAACUCCAGAACUGCCUCCGAUACUGGGAGCCUUCGAGUCCGGGAGAGGUGAGUGGAACUGCGAGUGUAGAGGUGAAAUUCGUAGAUAUUCGCAAGAACACCAGUGGCGAAGGCGGCUCACUGGCCCAUAACUGACGCUGACGGCA
rnacentral:rRNA from 1 species